GAUCAUUACCGAGUUUACAACUCCCAAACCCCUGUGAACAUACCUAUUGUUGCUUCGGCGGGAUCGCCCCGGCGCCCUCGGGCCCGGACCCAGGCGCCCGCCGGAGGACCCAAACUCUUGUCUUCAUGAGUAUCUUCUGAGUAAUACAAGCAAAUAAAUUAAAACUUUCAACAACGGAUCUCUUGGUUCUGGCAUCGAUGAAGAACGCAGCGAAAUGCGAUAAGUAAUGUGAAUUGCAGAAUUCCGUGAAUCAUCGAAUCUUUGAACGCACAUUGCGCCCGCCAGUAUUCUGGCGGGCAUGCCUGUUCGAGCGUCAUUUCAACCCUCAAGCCCCCGGGCUUGGUGUUGGGGAUCGGCCGCCCUCCGGCGCGCCGGCCCCGAAAUCUAGUGGCGGUCUCGCUGUAGCCUCCUCUGCGUAGUAAUACACCUCGCACCGGAACGCAGCCUGGCCACGCCGUUAAACCCCCCAC
rnacentral:rRNA from 1 species